GGGCCAUCCUGACACCCAGGCUCAACACUUCACUCUGGGCCACAACUCGACCCUCUGCUCUACGCUUCCCAAAAGCACAGCCAGCAACAGCCGGAUGGGCCACCACAACCAGCAGAGAUAGACACAUUGAGGAGGCUGAGCCCCAGAAAGGAGCCUUCCAGAAGGACCUGCAGCACCCAACCUGCAGCUGUGCCCACUGACCGAGGGGAGGGGGAACGGCACAUCCCUGAGACAAGCGUUUUUCUGCUGUCUUCUUAGGAGAAGGCACAACUGUGGCCGCCGCCAGCUGACCCGGAGCAAAGGACUCCCCUUUCCUCCCGGCGCUGAGGCAACGUGCCCCGUCAUUUCUGCUCUUGCGCCGGAAAGAGCCACUUGUGCAACACCGCAUGACUUGUGCCAUUACCCUCCCGCCUCGUGCUGUCACCGCGCUGCCACCAGCCGCACCGAGAGGGACGGCCGGGGUGACACCGGGCCAGCCCAGGAGCGGCUCAGCACCCACAGCGAUGAGGCCAGGCCGGUGUCAUGCUGUUCUGAGCGGGUGGCAGAGGCUGGGUCCUCACAGCCAGACAGGAACCUUCUUCAAGCAAGAGAACAGGAGCUCGCUGCCUGCUGCUGGUACAUGAAGUGUUACUCCACACUGGAGGAGACCGAGCAUGGCAUGGUUUGGGUUGGAAGGGACCUAGCAUGCCUCGCUCUUAGGCAGCAGAUGCAGCGGUUUGGCUGAGCUCCCCUGGCUGGCAGGGCAUUUUGUCAAGCACGUUCCCUCAGUUUUCAGAGAGGAAGUUUCCCAACUGAGCCUUGAAGGAACACUACACUCAUCAGUGUCCCCCACUGCCCUCCUGUGUGACCUGCAAGCAGCGAGGGGGAGAGUGUCUAUCAAGACUUCGUGUCAAUCUGAGAGGCCUCUGAUUAUCUUCGUUUUCUUUUCGACAAAAAACAUUUGACCCACUUAAGAUGAAUCUUGUUUACUUGCAUGAAUAGAUUUACUAAUGUUAGCAGGAGUAAGAUGAGCAGACUGGCACUAUUCAAAGUGCUCUACAUCUGAAAUUUUGCAUGCAUUAGAAGUUAAGACAGGCUUCCUCAAUAGGAAUUCUUUUUUUCCAUAAAGAAAAUAAAACCUGUACAUGCCGUGCAUGGCAGCAGAGACCAACGUGAAAUAAUUACUCCUAUAACACAAUGAGGAGCAGACAGAAGGAUCUGCAGGAUCUGCACAUACAAUGCAAGGUCCAGAAACAUCAGCUCCAAGGAACAGGAAACAGCAGCACUCUUCAUGAUUUGAUCACUGAAGAAACCACUUGCGUAGUCACAUCACACUGAGUUCAGCAAGAGCCUUUUCCUGCAAGUUUUCUCUUUACUGAACAAGACCCAGAAAUCCUGAAUAUUGCAAAGACAAGCAAGGAAACCACAAGUCAUCAAGUCUGCUGGGGAUUUGGUUGUGCUUUGGACAGUGGCCUGGCUGGUUUUAACAGACUGUGCUCAAUCCUACUGUAUUUCCCAUAUCAAGCAUUUCCAGUGCACUGCCUGGAUUUCAGCACUUCUUUAGCCUGCUUGUUUGUUGGCUAAAAUAAAGCUGUGAGAAAAGGUGACAGAUUUUCCACUAUCACUUGGGGAAUAUACUUAAAUAUCUAAAAGUACAAGCAGGUAAAUCUCUGCCCUUUUGGCAAAUUAAAAAUAAAUAUGCAGUGUCACAUAGUCCGAAUAGUUGCCUUGGAGGUAUGCUGAGCAAAGUGAGACUUCAGAUCCCAGGAACCCUGAGUGAAACACGAGCUUUACAGCACGUCUGCAAAACAUGCCAUCAUCCUCAGGCUGUGAGAAACCAGGACAGGACUGGGAAUCACAAUGAUUUAUGCUAACAUUGCCCUCUAUCAGAAACUUUAAGCAAAGAUGAUCAAAUGAUGCAUGAAUUUUGUAUUUGAACAAAUUUAUUGUUAUAGUUAGGAUAAGGCACAUACAUCUACAUAAAUCAUAAAAAAAUACAGAGUUGUAUUUCUUUGAAGAUGUGGUUAGGCAGUCAGUGGAAAGACAGAUGCAUCAUUUUAAUGGCUCAGUCCUCCUGUGCCCUCUCGGUCUCCCAUUCUCACACCAGCUCUGUCCUUCCCAGUGACACAUUUGCACAGCCACUGAGUAAAUCAGGUAGAAGAAAUGAUUCAACUGAAAAACAACAGAGGAAAAGGGGGCUGGUUUUCAGCUAUAUCAGCACAAUGUGUGGCUGCAGGAUGCUUGUACUGGUGCAGCCCUGGGCAGAAGGGAAGUGAUGCAGGUUAGGGACCAACAGCCAAAGGCACAGGAGGGAGACAGUGACUCUUUAGGCUGGCGCAGCUGCCAAAUUUUCUUAUCAAGCUAGGCCCUAAAACCUUUUCUAACACAGUGCUGUGACAUGGAAAAUAUUUUAUCGGGGUUAUAACCAAAAGUUUUGAAUAAGAACAAAAUGAAAAUCAAAGCACAUACAGUUGGUCAAACUGAUGGGUUUUUAAAAAUGUUUUGAGAAAAGAUCCUCUGGUCAGUCAUAUAGAGAUGAUACAGAGUUAUUGUUUUUCCUAUCAAAAACACCCGGGUAGUAACAUGGAUUAUCGCUACUCUGGACAGCAACUUCUGUGUUCUAAGGUCCCACCUACAAAGGCAUAGGGGUUCUCCUGCUUCUUUAAAUGAGUGCUUACAGCCCUGGGAGUAGAACUAAAUUAUCACUUCUAUCUUUGUUUUUAAUAUCUUUCAUAAAAUGUGAUUGUAUGGCACUUCAGUUUCUUGGAAUACACAGAGAUAUAAUUCACUGAAAUACUCCUCCGUGACACUGAAUUUACCUGAUCCAACAUUAUUUAAUAAAGAUUCAUCAUAGGUUCAGGCAUUAAACUCCAGUGAAGUGACACUUGGAAUCACCAGUGUUUACACUUUGAUUGCUCAAACACAUCUCAAAGCAUCCCACCACACUGCUCACAGAAAGACAUGUAACUGCCUGAACACAGUGCACCCACAAAGGUCUGCUGGCAUCUCCAGGCCAACUGAAUGCUGCUGCAGAAGCAGGCAUGGUGGCCAAAAGGCACAUCCCCUGGCCUUGUGUUACAUGAGAGCAGGACUGACAUCGACCUGGUGUGCAGAUGAAAGAGCUGCACAGAUCCAUGGAUGAAAUGUGCCACAGGUCUUGCCUUCUCUGAAGCCUUUCUAGUCUCCUUGGAUCAAAACAAUGAAGCAGCAAGGGAAGAAACACUCCGUCUGCUGCACAAAGCUUGGCUGAAGAAAAUAUACAGUUUGCAAAUAUCUUUUUCAAAGGUUUAAAUUUCAGUCUUAAGGCCAGUGUCUCCCAGGCAACACCAAGAAAGAUUAAAAUGCAAUCUGCUUUCAUACCUAUCUUUUUCUAAACUGCUUUCAGAGCUUGUAUCACCACCUCAAGGAAAAAGAAAUGUAAGUAACAAAGUCAUACAAGUUUGCUUCCUCUCCAUUUUCCAGUCUAACGAGAUAGCAAAAAAAAAACAAAACCAAAACCAACAAACAAAAUAAAUCCCACAAGCGCCAGAAAACCAAGUCGCCAUUUUUAUCUCAAAACUCUUUGCAUAAUAUUGGGCAAUAUUAUGCUGGAGCAGGGUGGCUGGACUAGAUGAGUUCCAGAGAUCUCUUCCAAACCCUGCAAUUCUGUACUUUUGUACUUCUAUACAGUAUCUGAGAACUUAGCCUCAGAGAACAUCAGAAAGUGAGGGAAACCAAUCUGU